rnacentral:rRNA from 1 species
CAGUAGGGAGGAAGGUAGUGUAGUUAACACCUGCAUUAUUUGACGUUACCUACAGAAGAAGCACCGGCUAACUCCGUGCCAGCAGCCGCGGUAAUACGGAGGGUGCGAGCGUUAAUCGGAAUUACUGGGCGUAAAGCGCAUGCAGGCGGCCUGUUAAGUCAGAUGUGAAAGACCCGGGGCUUAACCUCGGAAUUGCAUUUGAAACUGGCAGGCUAGAGUCUUGUAGAGGGGGGUAGGAAUUUCAGGUGUAGCGGUGAAAUGCGUAGAGAUCUGAAGGAAUACCAGUGGCGAAGGCGGCCCCCUGGACAAAGACUGACGCUCAGAUGCGAAAGCGUGGGGAGCAAACAGGAUUAGAUACCCUGGUAG